rnacentral:rRNA from 1 species
UACGGAAGGCAGCAGUGGGGAAUAUUGCACAAUGGGCGAAAGCCUGAUGCAGCUAUGCCGCGUGUAUGAAGAAGGCCUUAGGGUUGUAAAGUACUUUCAUCGGGGAGGAAAAAACAAAACUAAUAAUUUUAUUUCUUGACGUUACCCGAAAAAGAAGCACCGGCUAACUCCGUGCCAGCAGCCGCGGUAAUACGGAGGGUGCUAGCGUUAAUCAGAAUUACUGGGCGUAAAGAGCACGUAGGUGGUUUUUUUAAAGUCAGAUGUGAAAUCCCUGGGCUUAACCUAGGAACUGUAUUUUGAAACUGAAAUACUAGAGUAUCGUAGAGGGAGGUAGAAUUCUAGGUGUAGCGGUGAAAUGCGUAGAUAUCUGGAGGAAUACCUGUGGCGAAAGCGGCCUCCUAAACGAAUACUGACACUGAGGGUGCGAAAGCGUGGGGAGCGAAACAGGGAUUAGAUACC